rnacentral:tRNA from 2 species
CGCGGGAUGAAGUAAUGGAAACUUGCAGAUCUCCUAAGUCUGAAAUGAUGGUUCAAAUCCAUCUCCCGCUA